GAAAUUCAUAUCACUUAUAUCAAAUGCAUAAGGGGAAAUAACUCUUAUAUGGAGCGUUCAUUUCGAUUUGGUCAAAAUGGAACAAAUCAUGCGAAGGAUAUAAAGAGCAAUUUUAUAAAAUAAAUUUGUCGCUUUCUUUUACGGUUACGGAGGAGAUGUGGACACAAGGAAAACAGUGUUUUGGAUAACUCCUACAAAGAAAAUUAUUUUGUUACGCAGGGUAAAUUUCAAAGGCGC
rnacentral:lncRNA from 1 species